CUGAGUACGACGGAGCACGUGAAAUUCCGUCGGAAUCUGGGAGGACCAUCUCCUAAGGCUAAAUACUCUCUAGUGACCGAUAGUGAACCAGUACCGUGAGGGAAAGGUGAAAAGCACCCCGGAAGGGGAGUGAAAUAGAACCUGAAACCGUGUGCUUACAAGUAGUCAGAGCCCGUUAAUGGGUGAUGGCGUGCCUUUUGUAGAAUGAACCGGCGAGUUACGAUUUGAUGCAAGGUUAAGCAGUAAAUGUGGAGCCGUAGCGAAAGCGAGUCUGAAUAGGGCGUUUAGUAUUUGGUCGUAGACCCGAAACCAGGUGAUCUACCCUUGGUCAGGUUGAAGUUCAGGUAACACUGAAUGGAGGACCGAACCGACUUACGUUGAAAAGUGAGCGGAUGAACUGAGGGUAGCGGAGAAAUUCCAAUCGAACCUGGAGAUAGCUGGUUCUCUCCGAAAUAGCUUUAGGGCUAGCCUCAAGUGAUGAUUAUUGGAGGUAGAGCACUGUUUGGACGAGGGGCCCCUCUCGGGUUACCGAAUUCAGACAAACUCCGAAUGCCAAUUAAUUUAACUUGGGAGUCAGAACAUGGGUGAUAAGGUCCGUGUUCGAAAGGGAAACAGCCCAGACCACCAGCUAAGGUCCCAAAAUAUAUGUUAAGUGGAAAAGGAUGUGGCGUUGCCCAGACAACUAGGAUGUUGGCUUAGAAGCAGCCAUCAUUUAAAGAGUGCGUAAUAGCUCACUAGUCGAGUGACACUGCGCCGAAAAUGUACCGGGGCUAAACAUAUUACCGAAGCUGUGGAUUGUCCUUUGGACAAUGGUAGGAGAGCGUUCUAAGG
rnacentral:rRNA from 1 species